CCCUUAGAUGUUCUGGGCCGCACGCGCGCUACACUGAUGCAUUCAACGAGUCUAAAACCUGCUCUGAUAGGGGUGGGUAAUCUUUUGAAUGCGCAUCGUGAUUGGGAUAGAUGAUUGCAAUUUUUCAUCUUCAACGAGGAAUGCCUAGUAAACGCAAGUCAUCAGCUUGCAUUGAUUACGUCCCUGCCCUUUGUACACACCGCCCGUCGCUCCUACCGAUUGAAUGAUCCGAUGAAUAUCAUGGAUUGAGGAUUAUAGCAGGUUCGCCUGUCUUGAUCUUCGAGAAGUGAAGUAAAUCUUAUCAUUUAGAGGAAGGAGAAGUCGUAACA
rnacentral:rRNA from 1 species